UAGGGAAUCUUCCGCAAUGGACGCAAGUCUGACGGAGCAACGCCGCGUGAGUGAAGAAGGAUUUCGGUUCGUAAAACUCUGUUGUUAGAGAAGAACAGCGCAUAGAGUAACUGUUAUGCGUGUGACGGUAUCUAACCAGAAAGCCACGGCUAACUACGUGCCAGCAGCCGCGGUAAUACGUAGGUGGCAAGCGUUGUCCGGAUUUAUUGGGCGUAAAGCGAGCGCAGGCGGUCAAUUAAGUCUAUGUGAAAGCCCCCGGCUCAACCGGGGAGGGUCAUUGGAAACUGGUUGACUUGAGUGCAGAAGAGGAGAGUGGAAUUCCAUGUGUAGCGGUGAAAUGCGUAGAUAUAUGGAGGAACACCAGUGGCGAAGGCGACUCUCUGGUCUGUAACUGACGCUGAGGCUCGAAAGCGUGGGUAGCAAACAGG
rnacentral:rRNA from 1 species